GUGCUCACCUUCACACCACAUAUACUAAAAUUGGAACAAUACAGAGAUUAGCGUGGCCCCUGCACAAGGAUGACACACAAAUUUAUGAAGCAUUUCAUAUUAAA